AGAGUUUGAUCAUGGCUCAGAUUGAACGCUGGCGGUAGGCUUAACACAUGCAAGUCGUGCGAGAAAGUAUCUUCGGAUAUGAGUAGAGCGGCGGACGGGUGAGUAACGCGUAGGAAUCUACCUAGUAGAAGGGGAUAGCCCGGGGAAACCCGGAUUAAUACCGUAUACCUCCUUCGGGAGAAAGAAGGCCUCUCUUUGAAGCUUUCGCUACUAGAUGAGCCUGCGUAAGAUUAGCUUGUUGGUGAGGUAAAGGCUCACCAAGGCAACGAUCUUUAGCUGGUCUGAGAGGACGAUCAGCCACAUUGGGACUGAGACACGGCCCAGACUCCUACGGGAGGCAGCAGUGGGGAAUAUUGGACAAUGGGCGCAAGCCUGAUCCAGCCAUACCGCGUGUGUGAAGAAGGCCUUCGGGUUGUAAAGCACUUUAAGCAGGGAGAAAAAGUUAUAAGCUAAUACCUUAUAACCUUGAUGUUACCUGCAGAAUAAGCACCGGCUAAUUCCGUGCCAGCAGCCGCGGUAAUACGGAAGGUGCAAGCGUUAAUCGGAAUUACUGGGCGUAAAGCGCGCGUAGGUGGUUUGUUAAGUUGGAUGUGAAAGCCCUGGGCUCAACCUAGGAACUGCAUCCAAAACUAACUCACUAGAGUACGAUAGAGGGAGGUAGAAUUCAUAGUGUAGCGGUGGAAUGCGUAGAUAUUAUGAAGAAUACCAGUGGCGAAGGCGGCCUCCUGGAUCUGUACUGACACUGAGGUGCGAAAGCGUGGGUAGCGAACAGGAUUAGAUACCCUGGUAGUCCACGCCGUAAACGAUGACAACUAGCUGUUAGGAGACUAUGUCUUUUAGUGGCGCAGCUAACGUUUUAAGUUGUCCGCCUGGGGAGUACGGCCGCAAGGCUAAAACUCAAAUGAAUUGACGGGGACCCGCACAAGCAGUGGAUCAUGUGGUUUAAUUCGAUGCAACGCGAAAAACCUUACCUACUCUUGACAUACUU
rnacentral:rRNA from 1 species